CCUACGGGUGGCUGCAGUGAGGAAUAUUGGUCAAUGGGCGAGAGCCUGAACCAGCCAAGUCGCGUGAAGGAUGACGGCCCUACGGGUUGUAAACUUCUUUUGUCAGGGAGCAAUUGAGUCCACGUGUGGUCUUAGCGAGAGUACCUGAAGAAAAAGCAUCGGCUAACUCCGUGCCAGCAGCCGCGGUAAUACGUAGGUGGCAAGCGUUGUCCGGAUUUACUGGGUGUAAAGGGCGUGUAGCCGGGCUGACAAGUCAGAUGUGAAAUUCCGGGGCUCAACCCCGGACCUGCAUUUGAAACUGUUGGUCUUGAGUAUCGGAGAGGCAGGCGGAAUUCCUAGUGUAGCGGUGAAAUGCGUAGAUAUUAGGAGGAACACCAGUGGCGAAGGCGGCCUGCUGGACGACAACUGACGGUGAGGCGCGAAAGCGUGGGGAGCAAACAGGAUUAGAUACCCCAGUAGUC
rnacentral:rRNA from 1 species